GAUGAAGAACGCAGCGAAAUGCGAUACUUGGUGUGAAUUGCAGAAUCCCGUGAACCAUCGAGUCUUUGAACGCAAGUUGCGCCCGAAGCCAUCAGGUUGAGGGCACGUCUGCCUGGGCGUCACAUAUCGUUGCCCAAUGCCUAUUGCAGUGCAAUAGGAAUUUCUAGGGCGAAUGAUGGCUUCCCGUGAGCGUUGUUGCCUCGCGGUUGGUUGAAAAUCGAGUCCUUGUUAGGGUGUGCCAUGGUAGAUGGUGGUCGAGUUAGAACGAUACCGAUCAUGUGCAUGCUCCCCAAAAUAUGGCCUCUAUGACCCACACGCGUCUUUUGACGCUCAUGACGAGACCUCAGGUCAGGCGGGGCUACCCGCUGAAUUUAAGCAUAUCAAUAAGCGGAGGA
rnacentral:misc_RNA from 1 species